rnacentral:rRNA from 1 species
CUGGCCCGAAAAAACGACCCGCGAACGCGUAAAGUACAACACCCCGGGGGGGUGAGGGKGCGUCCGCUCCCCGAGCCCCCUCGGAGCCCGUGCGUCCGCGACCUGGCCUCGCCACGCCCCCGCGGCGGGUGGGAUGCCCGGUCGCGUCGCUCGCGGCCGAACAACGAACCCCCGGCGCGAGUCGCGCCAAGGAAUCGGAAUGAGAUGAAGAGUGCGUCCGCUGCCAGGCGCCCCGUCCGCGGUGUUCGUGCUGGCAGGGGCGUGACUCCUCCGUCGCGAAACGUAAUAAAAUACGAAACGACUCUCGGCAACGGAUAUCUCGGCUCUCGCAUCGAUGAAGAACGUAGCGAAAUGCGAUACUUGGUGYGAAUUGCAGAAUCCCGUGAACCAUCGAGUCUUUGAACGCAAGUUGCGCCCCAAGCCACUAGGCCGAGGGCACGUCUGCCUGGGUGUCACGCAUCGUCGCCCCCUCCAACCCUCGGCCCCUCGGGCUCCGGGUGAGGUGKGGGCGGAAAAUGGCCUCCCGUGCGCUCAUCGCUCGCGGUUGGCCUAAAAUCGAGUCCUCGGCAACGAUAGCGCCGCGACGAUCGGUGGUGAUGCUUCGAKCGCGCCUCGUCUCCGGUCGCGUGCGCUUUGGCUCCGCCGGACUCAUCGGGACCCUUUCGGCGUCGCAUGGGCGAUGCUCGCAUCGCGACCCCAGAKCAGGCGGGAUUACCC